AGAAAAUAGCAUUAACAUUUCUUUUGGAAUGAAUCCUUAUUCUUGACAAUAGUGGAACUAGAGAAGUAUCAUAAUGAACUAAGGCCUGCAUCACCUAACUUUGAAAACAUAUGCAUUUUCAAUUGGCUAAUGGCUACCUGAUCGUUUAAUAUUGUUCAUUUUUCCAUAUCUGUUUCUUGUGUAUGGAUGGAUGUCAUUUGUAAUUCAUUUUUGAGAAUUUGAAUAUUAUUUGCAUAUAUGAAAAGGCAUCUCUGCAACUGAAAAUAUUCCUUUUCCAUCUCUUCUUCUACUUUGUUGUGAACUUAAUCUUCUUAUUCUUCUACUCUUUUUUUG
rnacentral:misc_RNA from 1 species